rnacentral:rRNA from 1 species
CCUACGGGAGGCAGCAGUCGAGAAUCAUUCACAAUGGGGGAAACCCUGAUGGUGCGACGCCGCGUGGGGGAAUGAAGGUCUUCGGAUUGUAAACCCCUGUCAUGUGGGAGCAAAUUAAAAAGAUAGUACCCCAAGAGGAAGAGACGGCUAACUCUGUGCCAGCAGCCACGGUAAUACAGAGGUCUCAAGCGUUGUUCGGAAUCACUGGGCGUAAAGCGUGCGGAGGCUGUUUCGUAAGUCGUGUGUGAAAGGCGCGGGCUCAACCCGCGGACGGCACAUGAUACUGCGAGACUAGAGUAAUGGAGGGGGAACCGGAAUUCUCGGUGUAGCAGUGAAAUGCGUAGAUAUCGAGAGGAACACUCGUGGCGAAGGCGGGUUCCUGGACAUUAACUGACGCUGAGGCACGAAGGCCAGGGGAGCGAAAGGGAUUAGAUACCCCAGUAGUC